AAAUCUUUUCAAUUACAAGAUGUUAACGCAUUGUUAACAUCUCCGCUCGCAGAUUUUUCAAACGAGGCCUCUUUUCUUCACACACCGAUUCAGUUCAUCGGUAGCUUUUUUGAACAUGUGAAGAAAGUGGUAGAUCUUCUCCAAGCAGAGAGCUGGCAAUCGGCAUAUCAGUUUAUCCGAGCGGAUGACGAAACAGCCUUUAAAUUGAAUUGCAGACAUGUACCUCACCAACUCACGGUCUUGGUUGGUCAGACCAUGAGAUCAAUUACCUGUAAUCAGCCGCAGUCUGUGUUCGAGUUGCUCAGAGGGAAUGGAUUUCUCUCCUCGAACAUCUGGAACGAAGAGCUGUCUCUCUCAACGAACGCCCCAUGUAUUGCACUCAUAGUGCACGGGUUCACAAUGGCGAAUGUAAACAUGAUCGUCAAAUCUAAUGAUUUUUUUAAAAAAUCUUACGGAUUCCACCAUAAUCUGUACAGCUUGGUAAUAAAAAGCUCGCCUAAUAUAUUAAAACACAGGCCAUACGAUCUGACGCGCGGUAAUGGGGACGGCAGAAGGCUUCCCGUAGUGGUAUUUUUUUCCGAUCCCCAACUUUCCCUAAACAGCGUUCUAGAAGAGGAUGGAAGAUUCUCUCCUUCUGUCACUGGGGUUGACGGGUCACAUCUAGACGUCGGAAACAAAACAAUGGAGGAAUUAGGAGAUUGCCGUGGUCUUCUCCUCGUGGAUACAUCUAACGGAGAACCAGCCCCAAGCAACACACCAGCAGUUCAAGAAGUGGAAACGUUUUCUUGUAUCAGAUGUCUUGGUAGUGCGAAUAGCUAUCUCAAAUGCGGUCAUCUGAUAUGCCAAACAUGCGCCGAAUGUAUGCAGCAUGAAGAAUCAGGUCUUGUGUUGUGUGGUUUUUGCCAGAAUGUGAGCCGUGCUAUUCCAUUCGACAUGCAGGCCGUAGGCCUAUCUUGUUGUUGUGAAAAACAACAGUGGGUAAGUCAUUGUGGCCACGUAACUUGUUUGUGUCAGUCAGAGAGAUGCCCUGUCUGUGAUGACGAAAUUCGUAAUCUCCACAGAAUACUAAAGAUAUCUGCAACUUACUUUAGCGUCCCAUCUGACAGACUGCUAUGAACGCAUGCUGCUCUGCUUUUGAAGGGGUUAAAUGUAUGUGGUCUGAUGUGGAAGUUAUUUUCUAAGCUUUUAUAAACAACUUUGGCUUGAUGUUAUUUUUAAUACAUUCAAGCAAGAGCAUAUCUGCAUAUCUAAAUUUGUUAUAGGGUAUUUACAUUUUUUUUCUUUCAUUAUAAUAUGCGUUAGUAUUUGCAAUCAUUUAUAAUCAUUAAGCAAGUCAUAUCUAACUUUGUAAUAAUCUGUGUUAUUUUAAAUCAGUAUAAAAAAGACUUAUGGUUGGAAUGUUUUUCCACUCUUUUUUUUAAAUGAAAUGUUUAAAUAAAAUAUAUCUGAUCAAAACAAUUCUUUUAUUUUUAAAGAAAUAAAUGGAAUAGGUAUUUUUUUUAUUAUGUAGA